CUACGUGCCAGCAGCCGCGGUAAUACGGAAGGUCCGGGCGUUAUCCGGAUUUAUUGGGUUUAAAGGGAGCGUAGGCCGGAGAUUAAGUGUGUUGUGAAAUGUAGACGCUCAACGUCUGACUUGCAGCGCAUACUGGUUUCCUUGAGUACGCACAACGUUGGCGGAAUUCGUCGUGUAGCGGUGAAAUGCUUAGAUAUGACGAAGAACUCCGAUUGCGAAGGCAGCUGACGGGAGCGCAACUGACGCUUAAGCUCGAAGGUGCGGGUAUCAAACAGGAUUAGAUACCCUGGUAGUCCACGCCGUAAACGAUGAGUGCUAGGUGUUAGACCCUUUCCGGGGUUUAGUGCCGCAGCUAACGCAUUAAGCACUCCGCCUGGGGAGUACGACCGCAAGGUUGAAACUCAAAGGAAUUGACGGGGGCCCGCACAAGCGGUGGAGCAUGUGGUUUAAUUCGAAGCAACGCGAAGAACCUUACCAGGUCUUGACAUCCCUCUGACCUCUCUAGAGAUAGAGAUUUC
rnacentral:rRNA from 1 species